rnacentral:rRNA from 1 species
GGUGAAAGGCUCAUUACAACAGCUAUAAUGUACUUGAUCUUGAUAAUCCUACGUGGAUAACUGUGGUAAUUCUAGAGCUAAUACAUGCACCAAAGCUCCGACUUUGUGGACGAGCGCAUCUAUUAGGUUAAAACCAAUCGGGCUCUGCCCGUCAAUUGGUGACUCUGAAUAGCUAUGGCUGAUCGCAUGGUCUUGUACCGGCGACGUGUCUAUCAAGUGUCUGCCUUAUCAACUUUCGAUGGUAGUUUAUGUGCCUACCAUGGUUGUAACGGGUAACGGAGAAUAAGGGUUCGACUCCGGAGAGGGAGCCUGAGAAACGGCUACCACAUCCAAGGAAGGCAGCAGGCGCGCAAAUUACCCACUCUCGGCAUGAGGAGGUAGUGACGAAAAAUAACGAGACCGUUCUCUUCGAGGCCGGUUAUCGGAAUGGGUACAAUUUAAACCCGUUAACGAGGAUCUAUGAGAGGGCAAGUCUGGUGCCAGCCAGCCGCGGUAAUUCCCAGCUCUCAAAGUGUAUAUCGUCAUUGCUGCGGUUAAAAAGCUCGUAGUUGGAUCUGCGCCUCAGGACCUGGUCCGUCCUUUGGGCGAGAACUGGGCUCCUGGGCUAGUACUGUCGGUUUUCCCUGCGUUGCCUUCACCGGUCGCGCAGGGUGGCCGGCGAGUUUACCCUUGAAAAAAUUAGAGUGCUCCAACGCGGGCUGACGCCUGAAUACUCGUGCAUGGAAUAAUGAAAUAGGAUCUCGGUUCUAUUUUGUUGGUUUUCUGAUCUGAGAUAAUGGUUAAGAGGGACGGACGGGGGCAUUCGUAUCGCUGCGUGAGAGGUGAAAUUCUUGGACCGUAGCGAGACGCCCGACUGCGAAAGCAUUUGCCAAGAAUGUCUUCAUUAAUCAAGAACGAAAGUCAGAGGUUCGAAGGCGAUCAGAUACCGCCCUAGUUCUGACCGUAAACGAUACCAACUAGCGUUCCGUCGGUGGUAAAUACGCCUUGACGGGCAGCUUCCCGGAAACGAAAGUUUUUCGGUUCCGGGGGAAGUAUGGUUGCAAAGCUGAAACUUAAAGAAAUUGACGGAAGGGCACCACCAGGAGUGGAGCCUGCGGCUUAAUUUGACUCAACACGGGAAAACUCACCUGGCCCGGACACCGUGAGGAUUGACAGAUUGAGAGCUCUUUCUUGAUUCGGUGGUUGGUGGUGCAUGGCCGUUCUUAGUUGGUGGAGUGAUUUGUCUGGUUUAUUCCGAUAACGAGCGAGACUCUAGCCUACUAAAUAGUCAAUGGAUAAACGCGUCCAGAAGACUUCUUAGAGGGACAAGCGGUGCUUAGCCGCAUGAAGUUGAGCAAUAACAGGUCUGUGAUGCCCUUAGAUGUCCAGGGCUGCACGCGCGCUACACUGGAGGAAUCAGCGUGCUGUAACCAUUGCCGAAAGGCGCUGGUAACCCCUUGAAAAUCCUCCGUGAUCGGGAUCGGGAAUUGCAAUUAUUUCCCUUGAACGAGGAAUUCCUAGUAAGUGUGAGUCAUCAGCUCACGUUGAUUACGUCCCUGCCCUUUGUACACACCGCCCGUCGCUGCCCGGGACUGAGCCGUUUCGAGAAAAGCGGGGACCGCUGUUUCUCCGCCCUCCGGGGUUUGGAGAUUCUUUGGUGGAAACCGCCU